rnacentral:rRNA from 1 species
AAACCGUUCAGGGGUAAACCUAAGAAACCCAAAAGAUCGAACGGGGAGAUUCAUCGUCAGCGACGCUGGCUUCGCGUCGGUCGGCGAUGCACCCGCGGUGCCGUGGAAACGGCUCUCGCGCGGGGCACGCUGCCGCGCGUCGAUGUCCGGCGUUCGUCGUCGUGCACUUCUCCUCUAGUAGGACGUCGCGACCCGCUGGGUGUCGGUCUACGGCCCGGGUGCGGUGACUGUCGCGUCGCCGCUAAAACGGCACGCGGCAAACUCCCGGUCGCCCGGCCGGCUGCCCGGCGGUACACGCAACGGUAUCAGGCCGCGCCUGUGCGCGCGUCGAGCCCGUCGCAAGCGAGCGCCACGGUACCCGGAGGUACGGACCAAGUGCCGUCCCCGGUCCUGGCCCGCUGCUGGCUGUUACGGUGCUACCUUCGACAGGCCUCCUUCCCGCGUACCACGUACGCGGGAGUACCGGUCGGCGACGCUACUGCUUUGGGUACUCUUAGGA